CAGCAGCCACGGGAAUACGAAGGGGGCUAGCGUUGUUCGGAUUUACUGGGCGUAAAGGGCGCGUAGGCGGACUGAUAAGUCAGGGGUGAAAUCCCAAGGCUCAACCUUGGAACUGCCUUUGAUACUGUUUGUCUUGAGUUCGAGAGAGGUAAGUGGAACUGCGAGUGUAGAGGUGAAAUUCGUAGAUAUUCGCAAGAACACCAGUGGCGAAGGCGGCUUACUGGCUCGAAACUGACGCUGAGGCGCGAAAGCGUGGGGAGCAAACAGGAUUAGAGACCCCAGUAGUCCCUGUCUCUUAUAC
rnacentral:rRNA from 1 species